AAUCAACGCUGGCGGCGUGCCUCAGACAUGCAAGUCGAACGAGAGGUUCCCUUCGGGGAACUGAAAGUGGCGCACGGGUGAGUAACACGUGGGUAAUUUACCUUCGGGUGGGGAACAACAGCCGGAAACGGCUGCUAAUACCGCAUAAUGCAGCGGCUCCAGAUGGAGACAGUUGUUAAAGCGGGGGAUCGCAAGACCUCGCGCCUGAAGAGAAGCCCGCGGCAGAUUAGCUAGUUGGUAAGGUAAUGGCUUACCAAGGCUACGAUCUGUAACCGGCCUGAGGAGGGCGGUCGGUNACACUGACACUGAUAUACGGGUCAGACUCC
rnacentral:rRNA from 1 species